GUCUCUUCCCGGUUAGCGCCUGCGCAGACAGGCGUGGAAGAUCACUUUGGCCCAGCUCAGUAGCCGUAGUGGGUUGGCGCGCCGGCCGUGGGGUAUUGUGGGAGAAGAUGGCGGCUGCCGUUCGCCCCCGGGUUGUCCGGGCCCUGCCAAUGUCACGUUCUUCUAUUACUGCAAGAGCCACAGCUGUGUUUCAUGGCCCACCCCAGCGCCAGCUUCAUCAUGCACUCAUACCUCAUGGCAAAGGUGGGCGUUCCUCAGUCAGUGGGAUUGUGGCCACUGUGUUUGGAGCAACAGGAUUCCUGGGCCGAUAUGUUGUCAACCAUCUUGGACGUAUGGGGUCACAGGUGAUCGUACCCUAUCGGUGUGAUCCAUAUGACACCAUGCACCUUCGUCCCAUGGGUGACCUGGGCCAGAUUAUCUUUCUGGAAUGGGACGGGAGGAACAAAGAUUCUAUCCGAAGAGCAGUGAAGCACAGCAAUGUGGUCAUUAAUCUUGUUGGGCGAGAAUGGGAAACCAAAAACUUUGAUUUUGAGGAUAUUUUUGUGAAGAUUCCCCGUGCAAUUGCUCAAGUGUCCAAGGAAGCUGGAGUUGAAAAGCUCAUUCAUGUUUCACAUCUGAAUGCUGAUAUUAAAAGCCCUUCUAGAUAUCUGAGAAAUAAGGCUGUUGGAGAGAAGGAAGUGAGAGAUGCAUUUCCGGAAGCCAUCAUCAUAAAGCCAUCGGACAUCUUUGGAAGAGAGGAUAGAUUCCUCAAUCAUUUUGCAAAUACUCGCUGGUUUGGUGGUGUACCUCUUAUUUCCUUGGGCAAGAAGACAGUGAAGCACCCAGUAUACGUUGUAGAUGUAUCAAAAGGAAUUGUUAAUGCAAUUAAGGAUCCAGAUUCCAGAGGGAAAUCUUUUGCCUUCGUUGGUUUUCUUUUUGUAGGCCCAGUCAGUACGUCCUUUUUGACCUGGUGCAGUAUGUCUUUGCUGUGGCUCACAGACCCUUCCUGCCGUACCCUUUGCCGCAGUUUGCCUAUCGAUGGCUAGCACGACUCUUUGAAAUGAGUCCAUUUGAGCCAUGGACAACAAGGGAUAAAGUGGAGCGGCUUCACAUCACGGACAUGCUGUUGCCCCACCUGCCUGGCUUGGAAGACCUUGGAAUUCAGGCCACACCCCUGGAGCUCAAGGCCAUUGAGGUGCUGCGGCGCCAUCGUACUUACCGCUGGCUGUUGUCCGAAAUGGAAGACGUGAAGCCGGCCAAGACGGUCAACUUUUAGUGGCCCCUGCGCUGCCCCGGGGUUUCCGUGUUGGUCAGGUCGCCCGGCUGGGACCAGCCCACUGUCGUUAGAGAAUCCUGUAUAUAGUGAAUAAGAUCCCUCUAUUAAACCAUCUGAGGUUAAA